CUCGCAGCUGGGUCGCCUGUUGCGGG
rnacentral:ncRNA from 1 species